UGUCUUAUAUCAGAAAACACUUAGGUAGCCCCAAAAAUACUUUAUUUUCUUCUGACCUGAAGUAUAUCAAUUUAGAUUUGUGUUGUGAGAGUUGGAUAUAUGAGCUCUAGGGCUGUCUGCCUUCUCUCCUAUCGAGUGGAAUGAAAUGGCACUGGGCUCAUGGUGCUCUAAUCUCCCAAAAGUACAAUUGGAAAAACUCAGCAAGGUCUCUUUCCAGAAAUCAUGAGCCAGUUACUAAAGAUAAUCCACAGACUUUGUUGUGAGCAUUCUCUUACAAUAAAUAUUUUUCUUUCAAACUUUCUUUGCCAUCCAGAAGCACAAGCCUGUCAUCCAUUAAGCCGGGAUGCACACGUUCUUCAGCACAAACCACAAAUGUGCUACAGAGUUAAAGCGGGCAUUAACAUAUUCUAACAGUGUUUGAUUGGUAAAUUACUGCAUCUUAGUCCCUGUUUUCUCUUUCCCAGAUGAGAAAAAAGCAGUGCAGAAGAGAACCUUCACCAGGUGGAUGAAUGGGUUUCUGCAGAGACGUGAACCUCCGAUUGAAGUGUACGACCUGUUCACAGACAUUCAAGAUGGAAGAAUACUCAUGGCUCUGCUCGAGGAGCUGUCUGGGUGCCAACUAACCCGGCGCCGUGGGAGGGAAUGUCGGUAACACUUAACUAUAAAGUACACAAAAUGUGCUUAGUUACUGAGUAGUGAAUAAGGAACGACUAGAUAGUUAAUGGUUAGUUAAUGAGGAGUUCCUGAGUGACUGCGAUUGAAGAACUGAUGGUUAGUUACUGGUAAACAGAAUGGGUGGGGGUACUGUAUUAAUGAAUGAUUCAUUUAAGCAAUCAUACACGAGAGGACCUCAUGAGCCAGUUACUAAAGAACUUGACCUCGUUCAGGCGCAAGCGCCUCGGUCCUGCCGCAGUACUGUCGUACCAA